GUGUAUUGCUUAAUAUAUUUUCUUAUUUAUCUAGCUUCAUAGGGUCGAUUUCACAUUUUCAUAUUCAUUCUGAGUUCAUCAUCAUCAUCAUCAUCAUUUGCAUGAAUAUUUUAUAUCCUAUUCAGAAGCACAAUCCAUAGUUGAUUGAGGUGCAUCAAAGCAUGAAGAUAGUUUUUGUGCCUAAUUUGUGUGUAAUUUAGCUGAAUGCCAUACGAUAUUGCUGGGUGGAAAAUUGUUUGGUGAUCUUGGUGAUGGUUUUCUUCACACCUGAGGAUCACCACAGCAGUCCUUACUGAAAUUUAGGGCUUUUAUUAUGUCUGUUAUUGAUUGUGAACCUAUAUCUUCUGUCUUGAGCUCAUAAUCACUCUGUGAACUCACCUUUCAGAUUGUUCGGACAAAAUACUUUGACAUGCCACCUUUGACUGUACCUGAAGCCGUUGAGCAGCUGGAAAAUGUUGAUCAUGACUUCUUUGGUUUUCGAAAUGAAGAAACUGGUAUGGAAGAUCUCACAUCUUUCUAUUGUCUUCAUAUUUCAUAAUUCGAUUUUGUGCUAUCUGAUGAUUGAAUUUCUUACGCCUUCGUUCCAGGUGAGAUUAAUAUUUUGUACAAAAGAAAAGCUGGUGGAUAUGGGCUUAUUAUUCCUAAAGAAAAUGGCAAAACUGAGGAAUUAGAGCCUGUGGUGGUAAAGUCAGAUAGGGAACCUUCCUUGGCAGAAUAGAAGAGACAAACAAAGGGCGAUCCUUUUGUAAGAUAACUUGAAGAAGUUAUAUUUUGAAAUCAUCUGACUCUUCUCCAUGGCAUUGUCAUAUGCUUGUGCCAGGGCAUAUAUAGACUACCUGUUUAGGGUUUCAGAUCAAGUGAAGAGAGCUUUUGAAAUGUUUGAAACAUUUUUUUGUCAAGACGAUGAUUUUUGUAAAGAUGAGAUGCACCAUCUGGUGCCCAACUUACUGAGACGAGAAGGAUCAUUAUGUAAUUACAAUGCAUUUGUGUACAAAUUACCAUCUCAGUUAUUACUCCUCUCUUUCUCUAGUAUCAUUAUAUAGUCACAGUGCAUUAUAGACAAAUCACCAUCUUAGUCAUUACUAUCCCUCUCUCUCAACUAGUGUUUUGCUCAUUGUGAAAUUUGUCAUGCAACAAUGUGUCUGUUAAGUUGUCAUUUCUAUUUUUGUAGGUUAAUUUUUUUUUUUUUGCUUUAUUUUGUCUCUAUCCUUGGUUACCAAUUGGUUGGUGCAGGGUACCAAGGGACAACCGCAUUUAUAGGAUCUAACAAAAUGAUUCAGAACAACACAAUCAUUGAUGAAAUACAGCAUAGAGCAAAAGAAGAAACCAUUUUAUUCAUCUGAUUUUGAUUACCAUAGAGUAGCAGUUUCCUUAUUACCAGAGUUCUAUAUUUUAAUUUUCAGCCAAAAGCUGGACAUAAUCGCAGCGGCUGAAUUACUUUUAGCUGUCAUUAGCAUAAGAUUCUUCGAUCAUAGUUCUCACAGAUAUGGGACUUUUCACUGCAUGCACCCCAUCAACCCAAGUCAAGCUCCCAAAAGAGUAUUCUGUGUUCACCUGGUGAAUUGAGGAAACUGUGACACUGAAGGUAACAGUUUUGAUGGUGGAGUUGAAAAUCAAAGUAUCAGGUUUUACUGUUAUGGUUAUGCCUGCUGGGGAUAUGAUAGAGGCUUUGUAUGUGGAGUUGACAGCUCCAACAUUUGUGACGUUUCUGGUGAGAGAGGUUGAAUUUUGGAGGCUUGGGAUGGUUAUGGAAGGAAGAUUCAAGUCAAGAAUAGAAUGCUCUCGAGUGGGGCAGCGUAUGGAUUGUUCUGUGAACUGAAAAAUGGCAGAGUUGUUGUAGCCCAAGGUACAGAGAUAAUGAAUAUAAUCCGCUGUACCCAUGUCAUACACUAGACCAGGAUCCGCUGCUCUAUUCGGAUUCACAAUUCCACCUCCAAAAUCAAAUGGAUCAGCAAGCUUUGUUGGAUCUCCCUCGGCAAAGAUUGGUUCUCCAGACGGAUCGGUUGUCCAUCCUGCAAUAAGAUGUUUUUAAGCAUCCAGAGACAGUGGAUGGGGGGUGUUUGUGAAGAAAUUAGCAGUUCAAUGGAAGGGACAUAUACCUGUUGUGACAAUUGCUGAUUUAAUUGCAGCUGGGGACCAAUGUGGGUGCAGGGAUUUGAGUAGUGCAACAAUGCCUGCAAUGUGAGGAGUUGCCAUGGAUGUUCCAGAAUGGAAAGCAAAUUCGGUGUUCUUUUUCAGAUCAGAAGGUAGAACUGCCCCAAGUAUUUGGGCACCUGGACCUGCUAUAUCUGGCUGUGCCAUUCAGUGCCCAACAUGGCUGUCAGUGAAAUUCUAAAAAGAGAAAAUUUCUCAAAAUCCUGACAUGGUUAUCUUAAUUAAUUAGGCAGGGCUAGCGGAGAAUACCUUCAAUACUGCUGGACUAGGGAAACUUGGCCCUCGAGAUGAGAAGUAGGCCACAUUGGUUGGCACGGGUUUCCCAACAUGUGUUUUAGAAGGGCUCAGCCUUACAUGGGGAUGCCUGCACAAGCCUCUCAACAACCAAGCUAUAUGAGGAUAAUGAUGAUGAGGAUGAUGAUAUUUUUUGUGAUAAUGUUGAUAAUGGUACCUGGUCGAACUGAUGUAGUAGAGUAUCUGGCUUCCAGUUUCGUAGCUUACUUUAAUACAUGGGAAGUCACUGAUGCAUGACGCCUGGGUGUUUCCAGAAUUCUCAGCAAUAAUUACCCCCAGGCCACGAGCUUCUUUCACGAAAGAUGCAGCAAAUUGUGUCUCAAAUGUACCUGAAGUGAAGCAGAGCGCCACUUUUCCAGCCACUGAAGUGUCAUUCGGUGACAUAUAUAGACAACUGCUGCAACAGGUGAGUGGUAGUAAAUAUAUAGAAUGGGCUACACAGACAAGUGAGUCAUUUAUUUUGACGUCUAAUAAUUUUUAUGGACUCGAUUUUAAAUGUAGGCCUUCCAAGAGGUGGGAUCCGAAGUGACAGUGCAGGACAAGGGAUCAAUAGGGCCCUAAACAGAAAUAGUGAAACACCGAGUUAGAACAGAAGGUUGCUGUCCUUGGAAGAUAUUUACCUAGGACUCUGGAGAUGUGGGUCAUCUGGGUACACUAAGCUAGCGAAGCCUGUAAGGUUUCCAAUGAGCAUGGCUUGACCCUGCAAGUAACCAAGUUGUUCAAUAAUGCAACAGAAAGAGCUGUAGGAGUGAGUGAUUAAUAUAAAUUUUAUUUUAUGUUGUUAUGCAGUGCAAAAUCCAGAUUAUGGAGAAUUACCAUGACGGUGCGGUUGUUGCCUAGUGUGAUGGGUGUAGGGAAGGACCGAUCAAUGCUGCUAGCUGCUACAGUUAAUAUCCACGGUGCUGUAUUCUCUACUGUUUGAGCACUUGGGCCUCCAUUUCCUGCUGCACAAACAACUGAAAUCCCCUGUGCCACAGCAUGGAAUGAACCAAUGAGGAUGCUAUCAGGUUUGAUAAUUUCAGUGAACGGGAUGUCGUCGGAACCGAGUGAGACUGAUAACACAUCUACUCCGUCGUGGAUGGCUUUGUCAAAAGCUUUCAGUAUAUCAGCAUCUGAGCAGAAUCCCCCCUCCAAAUUCCAGCACACUUUAUACAUGGCCAGCCGAGCCCCAGGUGCGCCACCCCUCACUGUUCCAAAACCAAGCCCAUAGUAGCUGGCAUUGACCACAGGAGAACCACCAGCAAUAGAAGAUGUAUGUGUACCAUGUCCAAGUGCGUCUCUCGGGGACAGGUAUUCUAGGUAUUCAGUGGUAUUCAAUGGCUCUCCAAUCUCUGCUUCAAGUCCCUUGAAGAAAUAACGAGCUCCAAUAAGUUUUCUGUUGCAGUGCUUUGUUGCAUUGAAGCUCUGUCCUGAGCUGCAGCCACCUUUCCAUCUAGACGGGAUUGGCCCCAGACCUUUAUCGCUGAAAACUUCUGAUUCGGGCCAUAUCCCUACUCACAAUUCAAGUGGAGGCAAUUCAGUUUUAUUCACACAUACAGACAUGCAGACACAUGCAGGGGAGAGGUAGAGAACCUGUGUCAAGAAGGCCAAUGAUGAUUCCAUCACCGUUGUUGGUUUCAUACAGGAGAUUGGUGGAAGAAUGUGAAGAGGAGAGGCCAAGGUAAUCCCAGCUCCUUGUUGUCUUCAGCUUAUGAAGGCGAGAGGACAUGACUUGAACCACACCAGGUAACUCUAAAACCAAGACAAAAAGGGAAAGACUGUAAAUACAUUAUAUGGAACAACAUAAAUUGCUUGUAAGAUGACCGAUGGGCUUUUCAUAUUAUGCCUGUUUCCAAAUACCACUAUGGACCCUUUUUACCCUUUACUUGCCUUCAGUAGAAAUGGCCCUCAGAGGACCAAAGGCAGCCACCUUGCUUACUGCUAUAUGCCUUUUGUUCAGGCUGCCAUUCUGAUGUGAAACACAAACCCUCAUUCAGUGGUGGCUGUGCAUGCAGUGGAUUCAGGCCAUUGCAUACGAUGUGUACCAUGCAUACCAUUUGAUGUCAAAGGUAUAUCAUAAACCUAGAAUCUAAAGCAUUCACCAGUAGAAUUUGUAAUCUUUGUGACAUGGAAGAUUACCUGAAACUGCUUGUGCUUGAGCUUCUGUCAACUUGGCUGCAAAUCCAGAGAAGCCAUGUCUGUAACUGUAGAUCAUGGAAUCUACAGAUGCUUCUUUGCUGCAUCAUGAGAACAUGGUGAACCAAUAGUUAUGACACUGGACUAUCUCAGUCUAGAAUUCCAAACAAAAACAUAUAGAUUUUGACUCUUUCUUUCUUCCCGGUUUACCUUCCAAGAACUGUAGUUAGCAUUUCAUGAUGAAUGUUGGUGAUGAGUUCUGGAUCAUGGUGCUGCCUCUUUCCCAAAUAAACAAUGUGGACCUGCGGGUUUCCAUGGAGAAUUUAGUGAUAUGGAAAGUGAUGAAGUUAGAACAGACAGUGAUUAGAAUGAUUCGAUUACUUACCUUGCUUUUAGGUUGUGCAGGAGAUACCGAGCUAACUUUCUCGUUUAGAAUCAAGAUGAAAGAAGCUAAGAAAAUUAGUAUGAGACUUCCAUGAUGGAGUGAACUCAUUGUGUGUGCUAAUGGAGCUUGUGGCUCAUGCUAUACAACAAGGGAGUCCAAUAACUCCUUAAAAGGUUGAAAAAGGAUGAGUGCACGGACCUCGACGGCGAAGACAUGGUACAUUUCCAGUCUUCGGAAGAUUUUUAUUAUGCACAGAGGUCACUUUCCUGGAAUUAUGUGACAGAUUUUUCCAUUGGGAGGCCCACAGGUAAUGUUUUGAUUGGUCGAGAAAUGAGAUCGAUGUUUCUAAGUGGCAGUAUAGAUCAUUGACUCAGAUGGUUCUAAGUCGUCGCAUCGGUCUCAACAUCUCAACUCGGUGUUGGUUGAUAUGCAAAAUAAGAUAAUUAAAAGAUUCAAAAAAAUUUAUAAAAAUAUUAUAAAGUAUAAUAUUAUAUACCACUAUGGUGACUUGUGAUGAUCAUCCAUAAUAUUUCUUUGUGAUUCUUUGUGACUCCCUUCUUAAGGGAGGGACCCUAUUCAAAAUCGAUUUAGUUUUCCGGCCCUUACAUUCCAUCUUCUUUUGUUUUUUUUUUUCCUUAUGAAAAUUUGAAAAAUAAAUAAAUAUAAUUAAGAAAGGUUAAAAAAAAUAAUAAAAUAAGAUUUUUCACAUUGAACAUUAUUUCAAUAAUUACAAAAUGUUGACCGAAAGUAAUUUAUGAUAAUAAAUGGAAUUAUUUUAUUUUAAAUAUAAUGAUAUUUUUAUUAAAAGACAUAUAAUUCAAUCAUCAACUUCAUUUUAAAUUUUUAUUAAAUAACAUAUUCUUAGUUAAAUUAUUUUAAUAUAUUAAUAUAAUAAUAAAUUAAAUGGUUUUUAUAUAUUAUUAAUAGUAAAUUAAUAUAAUGCUACCAUUUUUUAUAUAAAAUAAUAAAUUAUUAUCAUAUAAAAUAAUAGAUUAUAAAAUCUGUUAAUAUAAUAUUACCAAAUUAAUGCAAGUUAGACCUAUGAUAGUCAUUGAUGUGCUUCUUCCUACUCAUCAUGGGUCAUGGUUUUUGGCUGUUGAAAAGCUUUUUCCUUGAAGACAAGCUUUGAUUUGUCUAUUAUUGAUAUGUUGUGAUUUGAAAAUGAAAAAAAUAAUUUUUUUUUUUAACUCGGAUAUCUCAAUCGAGUCAACUCGAAAUUUUUUUAUUGACUCAAUCGAAUUUAAAUGAUUCUUGAGAAGUUUGAGUUUCAGAUGGUAUCGGGUGUCGGACUCGGUGUGAAAAGGCCGAGGCGGAUACGAGCACGACUUGUCCUCGACCGAUAUUUUGAACCAUGUUACGUGGCACCGACUGAAGGGGUCUUGGGGAAAAAUCUUUUGGAAAUUGAGGUGGAUUCCAUGAAACCACAUGUGAAGCUAGCCUAAGGUGCCGUCUAAAGACUACUCAUUGAUUAGCCUUUUAGGGAGAGAUUUUCCAACUGGGGAGACCCACAGGUGAUGUGGAGAUGCCUUACCCAGUAACAGAAAUUUCGGGUGUAGACCACCUUGUAACUUGUAUUAGUCUUCCAGUCCUGGGUAAGAGGAAGUUUCCUUCCAUCAGGGACUGCGACCCACUGUUGGUUAACGGAAACCACCAUCGGGUGACCGCCCUGAUGGUAGGAGAGUAAACCCUGUCCGGAUUCUGGAGACCACUCUGAAUUUCGGUUGAUAGUUCGGUCUGAAGUUUGAAUAAAUCUGAAUUUGUAUGAAAUAGGAGUAGAAAGCCAUGCAAAAGAAAGUGAAGUAAAAGAAUUUUAUGUUUUUUAAGAGACAAGACGAUUAAAACAUCUAAAAAUAAAAUUAGACGUGUAUUAAUAUGCCUUGUAAUCAUGAAGCUUAAUUUCCACAUUAAAAAUAACUAAUCUUAUGUUUUAAUUCUCAAAAGUCGCAUAUGGUUUUGAGUUCGAAUCCUGUCAUGAUACUCCGAAUUUAUCUGAGGUUUGGUCCGAAUCGAAAGUCCUAAGGGUGUGGCUAUAAAAGGUUACUCCGUUAUAAAAAAUUUAAAGAAAAAUAUUAGUACAAGGGUGAAGGACAAUAUCAUGCCAUCCAUUCCACCAUGAACAGCCCUGAAACAUCUGAGUUAAAAGGACAUAUCAUCACCAUCAUCAAUGUUUUGUUCAUAGUUCAUAUUUGAUUAAAAGCAAGUUUACAUCCACAAAUUUGAUGUUUCUGUAGACCCUCCAGCUAUGGAAUGGUGAAAUCACGUCUCACUGAUAUGGGAAUUCUUACAGCAUGCUCUCCAUCAGACCAAGUCAAGCUUCCGAAAGAGAAUCCCGUGCUCACCCGGCGAGCUAGGAAACCAUGACUCUGAAAGAAGACGAGUCUAUCAGGUUCUACUUUUAUGGCAUUUCCUGGUGGAGGGUCGAUAACAGCUUUGUACUCUGAGUCAACAGCUCCAACAUUUGUGACACUUCUGGAGAGAGAGACAGAGUACCGGCCGUUUGGGAUGGUUAUGGAAGGAAGGUUUACGUCCAGAAUGGAAGGUCGGUUGCUGGGACACGAUGUGGGUCGUCCAGUGACCUGAGAAAUGUGCUUAUGCCAGGGCAUAUAUAGACUACCUGUUUAGGGUUUUAGAUCAAGUGAAGAGAGCUUUUGAAAUGUUUGAAACAUGUUUUUUUGUCGAGAUGAUGAUUUUUGUAAAGAUGAGAUGCACCAUCUGGUGCCCAACUUACUGAGACGAGAAGGAUCAUUAUGUAAUUACUAUGCAUUUGUAUACAAAUUACCAUCUCAGUUCCCCUUCUGUUGUACUCUUCGUUCUGAUCUUCUCCCUUCUAUGGCUCGAGGCAGCUCUCAGGUAGCUUCCAACCAGCGUUCCACUAUGAAUACUUCUAAGAUUAUCGGCCCCUCGACGAUAAUGGAAGAUUCUGGCAGUCCCUAUUUUCUCCCAAUGGCGAUCAUCCAAGGAUGAUUUUGGUUUCUCAUUCUUUGACUGGGCCAAAUUUCAACACAUGGAGUCGAUCU
rnacentral:lncRNA from 1 species